rnacentral:rRNA from 1 species
UACGUAGGGUGCGAGCGUUAAUCGGAAUUACUGGGCGUAAAGCGUGCGCAGGCGGUGAGCUGUGUCCGAUGUGAAAGCCCCGGGCUUAACCUGGGAAUGGCAUUGGAAACUGGCUCGCUGGAGUGUGGCAGAGGGGGGUGGAAUUCCGCGUGUAGCAGUGAAAUGCGUAGAGAUGCGGAGGAACACCGAUGGCGAAGGCAGCCCCCCUGGGCUAACACUGACGCUCAGGCACGAAAGCGUGGGGAGCAAACAGG